GAAACAAAGGAGAGGAGCCAAGCCCAGACAGGAAUUCGGCAUGGAUGACCCAGAGGGCUGGGGAGCUGAGAGGGAGGAGGACUUGGCCACAGGUCACGAAUUCCGAAUCCAUCCCGAAACGGGAGGCUCACUUUUGGGCUCCCGCCUCAUGUGGGACUGAGUUUCCUUAUCCGUCCAUCUAUUCAGGAUACUGAUGGUGGGGUGGUCCGGUGGUGGGGUGGGUGGGGUGGAUGAAUCUCAGGAGCUCAGGUGCUUCUGUCUUUCCCCAACCUCCUUUGCCCAUCCUUGGGCUCGUCCCAGAGCCAGCACAGGGCGGGGCAAGGGCAACCAGGCUGGGGACCCUCGCUCACGCUGCCCGUCAGCCCGGAGGGAGCUGACACGCUCCUUGGGAAUUUAUCACGCACCCAAUUACAAUGUUAAUUGGCAAGUUCCUGAAAUCAAUUAAUUCGCAAAUUUUUUCCAAUUAAAAAUCCAGAUAAAUCACAGGGGCGGCGGCGGGGCUGGUCCAGUCCGCAGUCCGGUGGACGCAGCGGCCGC
rnacentral:lncRNA from 1 species